ACCUUCCUCCCGUCUUGCCUUCUCCCUCGAGUUGGGACCCGGGAAGAACCAUGAAGUGGCUGCUGCUGCUGGGUCUGGUGGCGCUCUCUGAGUGCAUCAUGUACAAGGUCCCCCUCAUCAGAAAGAAGUCCUUGAGGCGCACCCUGUCCGAGCGUGGCCUGCUGAAGGACUUCCUGAAGAAGCACAACCUCAACCCAGCCAGCAAGUACUUCCCCCAGUGGGAGGCUCCCACCCUGGUAGAUGAACAGCCCCUGGAGAACUACCUGGAUAUGGAGUACUUCGGCACUAUCGGCAUCGGAACUCCUGCCCAGGAUUUCACCGUCAUCUUUGACACCGGCUCCUCCAACCUGUGGGUGCCCUCAGUCUACUGCUCCAGUCUUGCCUGCACCAACCACAACCGCUUCAACCCUGAGGAUUCUUCCACCUACCAGUCCACCAGCGAGACAGUCUCCAUCGCCUAUGGCACCGGCAGCAUGACAGGCAUCCUCGGAUACGACACUGUCCAGGUGGGCACCUGCAGGCUGCCGCUGCAUCCCCCCAUCAGGCACCCCCAAAAUAAGCUUAUUCCAGCAAGAUGAGUCUUGGUGAUCACAGAAGUAACCUGAUUGGGGGUGCAGAGUGGGGGAGGGGCAGCAGAGAUGUCACAGACAUUGCUAGCUCAGGUGGCAGUGAGUAAAAGGGUGGGGUGCGAGGAGCCAUAAGCCAGCCUCAGCUCCACCCAAGCAGAAUGUUAUGGAGUGUGGGGAGAGUCAGUA
rnacentral:sRNA from 1 species